AUUUAUAUAGUUUAACUUAAAACAAUUCAUUUUCAAUGAAUAGAUGAAUGUUUAUUCUAUAAAUA
rnacentral:tRNA from 1 species